AUGGCGCAGGAGGGAAAGCCGGCGCUCGGGCGGGCGGCCAGAGACGCCUCCGGUCUCCUCUCUCCCUACAGCUUCUCACGAAGGGUUCAGAAGGAAGACGAUGUGACGAUCAAGGUGCUCUUCUGCGGGAUCUGCCACACGGACCUGCACGUCGCCAAGAACGAGUGGGGCAACGCCAUGUACCCCAUUGUUCCAGGGCAUGAGAUCGUCGGCGUCGUCACCGGCGUGGGCCGCGGCGUCCGGAGCUUCAAGGCCGGCGAGACGGUGGGCGUGGGCUCCUUCGUCGGCUCCUGCCGCGCGUGCGAGAGCUGCGGCAAGGGGUACGAGAACUACUGCCCCGCCCUCCUGCUCACCUGCAACGGCGUGGACUACGACGGCGCCACCACCCAGGGGGGGUUCGCCGACGUCCUCGUCGUCAACCAGGACUACGUCCUCCGCGUCCCGGAGGGCCUGCCACCGGCCGGGGCGGCGCCUCUCCUCUGCGCGGGCGUCACGGUGUACAGCCCCAUGGUGCAGUACGGCCUGGACGCGCCGGGGAUGCGCCUUGGCGUCGUCGGCCUGGGCGGCCUCGGCCACAUGGCCGUCAAGUUCGGCAAGGCGUUUGGAUGA
rnacentral:rRNA from 1 species